rnacentral:rRNA from 1 species
UACAGAGGUCUCAAGCGUUGUUCGGAUUCAUUGGGCGUAAAGGGUGCGUAGGUGGCGCCGUAAGUCAGGUGUGAAAUUUCGGAGCUUAACUCCGAAACUGCAUUUGAUACUGCGGUGCUUGAGGACUGGAGAGGAGACUGGAAUUCACGGUGUAGCAGUGAAAUGCGUAGAUAUCGUGAGGAAGACCAGUGGCGAAGGCGGGUCUCUGGACAGUUCCUGACACUGAGGCACGAAGGCCAGGGGGAG